UACGAAGGGUGCAAGCGUUACUCGGAAUUACUGGGCGUAAGGCGUGAGUAGGUGGUUUCUUAAGUCUGCUGUGAAAGCCCCGGGCUCAACCUGGGAAUUGCAGUGGAUACUGGGAAGCUAGAGUGCGGUAGAGGGUAGUGGAAUUCCCGGUGUAGCGGUGAAAUGCGUAGAGAUCGGGAGGAACACCUGCGGUGCAGACGGCUUUCUGGACCAUUGCUGACGCUGAGACACGAAAGCGUGGGUAGCAAACAGG
rnacentral:rRNA from 1 species